rnacentral:rRNA from 1 species
GACGAACGCUGGCGGCGUGCCUAAUACAUGCAAGUUGAGCGCUGAAGGUUGGUACUUGUACCGACUGGAUGAGCAGCGAACGGGUGAGUAACGCGUGGGGAAUCUGCCUUUGAGCGGGGGACAACAUUUGGAAACGAAUGCUAAUACCGCAUAAAAACUUUAAACACAAGUUUUAAGUUUGAAAGAUGCAAUUGCAUCACUCAAAGAUGAUCCCGCGUUGUAUUAGCUAGUUGGUGAGGUAAAGGCUCACCAAGGCGAUGAUACAUAGCCGACCUGAGAGGGUGGUCGGCCAAAUUGGGACUGAACAACGGCCCAAACUCCUACGGGGGGCAGCAGUAGGGAAUCUUCGGCAAUGGACGAAAGUCUGACCGAGCAACGCCGCGGGAGUGAAGAAGGUUUUCGGAUCGUAAAACUCUGUUGGUGGAAAAAAACGUGGGUGGGAGGGGAAAGCUAAUAAAGGGAGGGAAACAACCCAGAAAGGGACGGCUAACUACGU